rnacentral:miRNA from 1 species
UGACUAGAUCCACACUCAUCCAA